GACGAACGCUGGCGGCGUGCCUAAUACAUGCAAGUCGAGCGCAGCGGCGGAUGGGUGAGUAACGCGUGGGUAACCUGCUCUUAAGUCUGGGAUACCAUUUGGAAACAGAUGCUAAUACCGGAUACUUAAGGAUGGACCUGCGAUGCAUUAGCUAGUUGGUAAGGUAACGGCUUACAAAGGCGAUGAUGCAUAGCCGGGUUGAGAGACGGAUCGGCAACAUUGGGACUGCGACACGGCCCAAACUCCUACGGGUGGCAGCAGUAGGGAAGCUUCCAAAAUGGACGAAAGUCUGAUAGAGAAACGCCGCGUGAGUAAAGAAGGUUUUCGGAUCGUAAGGCUCUGUGGUUGAUGAAGCGGUAAUCAACCAGAAAGGCACGGCUAACUACGUGCCAGCAGCCGCGGUAAUUC
rnacentral:rRNA from 1 species